UGGAAGUUGAAGGUCAGUGAAAGGAGAAGCAGACAGCAUCACUUCUGUCAAUCAGGAGAGGCGCGUUCCAGACAGGAAGGAGGGGGAGCUGGGAGGAAGUCACAAAAUAAGUUUUCCUCCUGGAAUCCUGAUGGAGACGAGUCAGCAGGUUUCCUGAGACUGGCAGCCGUUGUGGAUCUGGAUCGUGUUUCAGCUGAAGACAGACGGGCGGUAAAC